AGGGGAGCCGGAGGGAAACCGAGUCUUAAUUGGGCGUUAAGUUGCAGGGUAUAGACCCGAAACCCGGUGAUCUAGCCAUGGGCAGGUUGAAGGUUGGGUAACACUAACUGGAGGACCGAACCGACUAAUGUUGAAAAAUUAGCGGAUGACCUGUGGCUGGGGGUGAAAGGCCAAUCAAACCGGGAGAUAGCUGGUUCUCCCCGAAAGCUAUUUAGGUAGCGCCUCGUGAAUUCAUCUCCGGGGGUAGAGCACUGUUUCGGCUAGGGGGCCAUCCCGGCUUACCAACCCGAUGCAAACUGCGAAUACCGGAGAAUGUUAUCACGGGAGACACACGGCGGGUGCUAACGUCCGUCGUGAAGAGGGAAACAACCCAGACCGCCAGCUAAGGUCCCAAAGUCAUGGUUAAGUGGGAAACGAUGUGGGAAGGCCCAGACAGCCAGGAUGUUGGCUUAGAAGCAGCCAUCAUUUAAAGAAAGCGUAAUAGCUCACUGGUCGAGUCGGCCUGCGCGGAAGAUGUAACGGGGCUAAACCAUGCACCGAAGCUGCGGCAGCGACGCUUAUGCGUUGUUGGGUAGGGGAGCG
rnacentral:rRNA from 1 species